CAAGCGUUGUCCGGAUUUAUUGGGUUUAAAGGGUGCGUAGGCGGCUUUUUAAGUCAGUGGUGAAAUCCAGCAGCUUAACUGUUGAAUUGCCAUUGAUACUGGAGAGCUUGAGUACAGACGAGGUAGGCGGAAUUUAUGGUGUAGCGGUGAAAUGCAUAGAUACCAUAAAGAACACCGAUUGCGAAGGCAGCUUACUAGGCUGUAACUGACGCUGAGGCACGAAAGUGUGGGGAUCAAACAGG
rnacentral:rRNA from 1 species